CGGGGGGAGCAAGCGUUGUUCGGAUUUACUGGGCGUAAAGGGCGCGUAGGCGGCCACGCAAGUCGACUGUGAAAUCUCCGGGCUUAACCCGGAAAGGUCAGCCGAUACUGCGGGGCUAGAGUGCAGAAGGGGCAACUGGAAUUCUCGGUGUAGCGGUGAAAUGCGUAGAUAUCGAGAGGAACACCUGCGGCGAAGGCGGGUUGCUGGGCUGACACUGACGCUGAGGCGCGAAAGCUAGGGGAGCGAACGGGAUUAGAUACCCCGGUAGUCCUAGCCUUAAACGAUGAAUGCUUGGUGUCUGGGGUUUUAUAGUCCCCGGGUGCCGUCGCUAACGCUUUAAGCAUUCCGCCUGGGGAGUACGGUCGCAAGACUG
rnacentral:rRNA from 1 species